GUUUGAUCCUGGCUCAGGACGAACGCUGGCGGCGUGCCUAAUACAUGCAAGUCGAGCGGACAGAUGGGAGCUUGCUCCCUGAUGUUAGCGGCGGACGGGUGAGUAACACGUGGGUAACCUGCCUGUAAGACUGGGAUAACUCCGGGAAACCGGGGCUAAUACCGGAUGCUUGUUUGAACCGCAUGGUUCAAACAUAAAAGGUGGCUUCGGCUACCACUUACAGAUGGACCCGCGGCGCAUUAGCUAGUUGGUGAGGUAAUGGCUCACCAAGGCAACGAUGCGUAGCCGACCUGAGAGGGUGAUCGGCCACACUGGGACCGAGACACGGCCCAGACUCCUACGGGAGGCAGCAGUAGGGAAUCUUCCGCAAUGGACGAAAGUCUGACGGAGCAACGCCGCGUGAGUGAUGAAGGUUUUCGGAUCGUAAAGCUCUGUUGUUAGGGAAGAACAAGUACCGUUCGAAUAGGGCGGUACCUUGACGGUACCUAACCAGAAAGCCACGGCUAACUACGUGCCAGCAGCCGCGGUAAUACGUAGGUGGCAAGCGUUGUCCGGAAUUAUUGGGCGUAAAGGGCUCGCAGGCGGUUUCUUAAGUCUGAUGUGAAAGCCCCCGGCUCAACCGGGGAGGGUCAUUGGAAACUGGGGAACUUGAGUGCAGAAGAGGAGAGUGGAAUUCCACGUGUAGCGGUGAAAUGCGUAGAGAUGUGGAGGAACACCAGUGGCGAAGGCGACUCUCUGGUCUGUAACUGACGCUGAGGAGCGAAAGCGUGGGGAGCGAACAGGAUUAGAUACCCUGGUAGUCCACGCCGUAAACGAUGAGUGCUAAGUGUUAGGGGGUUUCCGCCCCUUAGUGCUGCAGCUAACGCAUUAAGCACUCCGCCUGGGGAGUACGGUCGCAAGACUGAAACUCAAAGGAAUUGACGGGGGCCCGCACAAGCGGUGGAGCAUGUGGUUUAAUUCGAAGCAACGCGAAGAACCUUACCAGGUCUUGACAUCCUCUGACAAUCCUAGAGAUAGGACGUCCCCUUCGGGGGCAGAGUGACAGGUGGUGCAUGGUUGUCGUCAGCUCGUGUCGUGAGAUGUUGGGUUAAGUCCCGCAACGAGCGCAACCCUUGAUCUUAGUUGCCAGCAUUCAGUUGGGCACUCUAAGGUGACUGCCGGUGACAAACCGGAGGAAGGUGGGGAUGACGUCAAAUCAUCAUGCCCCUUAUGACCUGGGCUACACACGUGCUACAAUGGACAGAACAAAGGGCAGCGAAACCGCGAGGUUAAGCCAAUCCCACAAAUCUGUUCUCAGUUCGGAUCGCAGUCUGCAACUCGACUGCGUGAAGCUGGAAUCGCUAGUAAUCGCGGAUCAGCAUGCCGCGGUGAAUACGUUCCCGGGCCUUGUACACACCGCCCGUCACACCACGAGAGUUUGUAACACCCGAAGUCGGUGAGGUAACCUUUUGGGAGCCAGCCGCCGAAGGUGGGACAGAUGAUUGGGGUGAAGUCUUAACAAGGUAGCCG
rnacentral:rRNA from 1 species